UUUCAUCAGGCUGUGGUUGCGGGUGUCAAGGAGAUGCCCUAGUCCAAGGCAGACGAGGUCAAAAGGAUCCACGUAAGUUUGGGUGUGCGCACGCAAGCGAGCAUGGCUCGUCCUAGAAGUAAGUCGUACCGUCCGUACUAUAUGAGAGGCAUACCGUCUCGCGGGCGAGAGAGUUAGUAGUAAGCAUGUUGCGGCAUGUACGCAAACGCUCCAGUAUGCGAGUGUGGGGUCAAAUACCAGGUCAGCUGGUGAAA
rnacentral:ncRNA from 1 species